rnacentral:rRNA from 1 species
CCCCGGCGCCACAAGUGGGAACCACGUUUAUUGGGUCUAGAGCAUCCGUAGCCGGCUUGUUAAAUGCCCUGUGAAAUCGUUCCGCCUAACGGGACGGCGUGCAGGGUAGACUGGCAAGCUUGGAACCAGGAAAGGCAGGCGGUAUUCUGUGGGGAGCGGUAAAAUACUAUAAGCCACAGAGGACCACCAAUGGCGAAGGCAGCCUGCUUGAAUGGAGUCGACGGUGAGGGAUGAAAGACAGGGGAGCGAUCCGG